ACGAGAAGCUUGCUUCUCUGAUGUUAGCGGCGGACGGGUGAGUAACACGUGGAUAACCUACCUAUAAGACUGGGAUAACUUCGGGAAACCGGAGCUAAUACCGGAUAAUAUUUUGAACCGCAUGGUUCAAAAGUGAAAGACGGUCUUGCUGUCACUUAUAGAUGGAUCCGCGCUGCAUUAGCUAGUUGGUAAGGUAACGGCUUACCAAGGCAACGAUGCAUAGCCGACCUGAGAGGGUGAUCGGCCACACUGGAACUGAGACACGGUCCAGACUCCUACGGGAGGCAGCAGUAGGGAAUCUUCCGCAAUGGGCGAAAGCCUGACGGAGCAACGCCGCGUGAGUGAUGAAGGUCUUCGGAUCGUAAAACUCUGUUAUUAGGGAAGAACAUAUGUGUAAGUAACUGUGCACAUCUUGACGGUACCUAAUCAGAAAGCCACGGCUAACUACGUGCCAGCAGCCGCGGUAAUACGUAGGUGGCAAGCGUUAUCCGGAAUUAUUGGGCGUAAAGCGCGCGUAGGCGGUUUUUUAAGUCUGAUGUGAAAGCCCACGGCUCAACCGUGGAGGGUCAUUGGAAACUGGAAAACUUGAGUGCAGAAGAGGAAAGUGGAAUUCCAUGUGUAGCGGUGAAAUGCGCAGAGAUAUGGAGGAACACCAGUGGCGAAGGCGACUUCCUGGUCUGUAACUGACGCUGAUGUGCGAAAGCGUGGGGAUCAAACAGGAUUAGAUA
rnacentral:rRNA from 1 species